AGUGCUCAUCACACUGUGAUACAGUUACUUACUAAUAUCUUUUUCUACUCAAUUUUCUGUGCACUCACAGAAGGCAGAAACUGUACCUUUCAUUUCCAUGAUUCUCAUGGAUAAAGCCCUCAAUAAAUGUUUGCCAGAUGAAUGACUUGCCCAAGGUCACACUGCUAAUAUAUGGCAGAACCGGGACCAGAACCAAGACCUCCGACUCCCCAGAUCCCAUAUCCUUGCUGUUCUCCUGGGAUGUUUUCUGGAAGAAAAUGAGCUGUGGGCCUAAAAAGAAGCCAAUCAAGCAUUUGGCAGAUUCAGGUACAUGUGCAGCUUCGUUACCUGUGUAGAUUGCAAGAUGCUGAGGUUUGGGGUACAAACAGGCUCAGAUUGGAAAUAUACCAUUAGCUGUCCUGGGCCUCGAGUUUGCCAACCUCAGAUCUUGGGACUUCUCUACCUCCAUAAUCAUUCUCGCUCUAUUGCCAGGCUGGAGUGCAGUGGCACAAUCUUGGCUCACUGCAACCUCUGCCUGCCAGGUUCAAGCAAUUCUCCUGCCUCAGCCUCCCAAGUAGCUGGGACCACAGGUAAGCGCCACCAUGCCCGGCUACUUUUUUUGUAUUUUUAGUAGAGAUGGGUUUUCACCAUGUUGGCCAGGAUGGUCUCAAUCUCUUGACCUCGUGAUCCGCCCCCCUCAGCCUCCCAAAGUGCUGGGAUUACAGGUGUGAGCCACCGUGCCCCGCCCCAAACUGCUUUUCAAAGUGGUCUAUGACCAUUCCAGUUGCUCUACAUCCUCAUCAACAUUUGGUGUCACAGGUAGCUUAAUUUUUAGCUGUUCUAUGGAUGUGUAUUUUCCUGCUAGCUAGUGAUGUUGAGCAUUUGUUCAAUUUGUAUUUUCCUGCUAGCUAGUGAUGUUGAGCAUUUGUUCAUGUGCUUAUCAGUUAUUGUUAUAUCUUCCUUUGUAAAGUGUCUGCCCACUUUUUAAAAAUGGGUUGCUUUUCUUAUUAUUAAGUUGUAGGAAUGCUAUUUUAUUAAUAACAUUAUUUGUUUUGUAGAUACUCCCUCCCAGUCUGAGAAUUGCCUAUUAUUCAUUUUCUUAAGGGUACAGACAUUUCUAAUUUUGAAAAUGUCUGAUUUUUUUGUCUUUUGUAGUUAUUGUUGUCUGUAACCUAAGAAAAAAUUUGCCUACUCCAAGGUUGUGAAGAUAUUCUCCUGUUUUCUUCUAGAAGCUUUAUCACUUAAUAACUAACUUUGUCAUUUCACACUAUACACAAACAUUAAUUUGAGAUGAAGGUAAGGUGCUCCAAUUUGAAAGAACAUUAGCCCAGAUGAAAAGGUUUUAUAUGUGUAAGAGGGAAGUAGAACCUGAGGCUUGCAGUCAAGUGAGGCCAAAUGGUGGAGGGCCUUGAAUCCCAAGCUGAAGACUGAGGACUUCUUUCCAUGGACAAUGGAGAGAUGAUGAAGAGUUUCACAAGAGAGUCAUAAAUUAACAGCUGGGGAGAAAAGGUGAAUGCUUGGGAGACUCGGUGAUGGUGACUUAACUUCUCCCAUCUGUGUACUUUGAGAUGUGAACCGCAUGUUUUUGAGCUCACUUCCUGCCCUGAUUUUCUGUGAUUCUUCCUUCCCAAAAGGGGGCACUGAGGCAGGAGCUACAAUAGUCUUUCAAACUGUUAGGGCCAGGGCAGAGACUGCCAAAUGCUUAGUCCUCGGUUUUGACCUAACCAGUGGGUCAGAUUGCUAGGGAUGGGGUGGGCAUCAAAUGUCUUAUUGCCUGUGAAGUAGAGGUUUGGGGAAAGUAGAGAACAAGUACCUCCUGCUCUCCCAUGCAUAACCCAUAGAGAAAUAACAAUUUCCCCGGAAUUUCGAGUCCAUACCUCCACCUCUCUGCUGGUGUGCCAAGCCUGUCCAGCUUCUUUCCUGUCACAAAAGAGAAGGGUCCCUCCACAUUUUAGGGCUAACUCAUCCACCACACAUUUGAUCUCAUCUCCCUCUGGCUUCUCUGUUUCUUCUUCCUCCAACCAUUUUUUCUUUUUUUUUCGAGAUGGAGUUUCACUCUUGUUGCCCAGGCUGGAGUGCAAUGAUGUGAUCUCGGCUCAUUGAAACCUCCACCUCCCGAAUUCAAGUGAUUCUCCUGCUUCAGCCUCCCAAGUAGCAGGGAUUACAGGCACCGGCCACCACGCCCAGCUAAUUUUUGUAUUUUUAGUAGAGAUAGGGCUUCACCAUGUUGGCCAGGCUGGUCUGGAACUCCUGACCUCGGGUGAUCCACCCGCCUCAGCCUCCCAAAGUGGUGGGAUUACAGGCGUGAGCCACUGUGCCCGGCCUCUUCCUCCAACAUUUCAAACCCUCCCUCUCCUGCCCCAUGUCCAAGCCUAGCUGCACUUCUUUUAAAAAUCCUGAAUUAAGCUCAGAUGACCCUUAGCACUCCCUCUACUCCUGCUUUCCCCUUCCAGAAUUCUCUCCAGUUAUAUAUAACUGCUGACUUCACUCCUCACAUAUCUGCUCAUUUCUCAGAUCCUGACAGUAGAGGGUCCAACCUCUAUCACUUUCCAGAAACUUCAGAUAUUAUGAAUAAUCCCCAACUGACCAGCCCUAUGCCUCAUCAGUCCUCAUGUUCUUCGCUCCAUGAUACUGGGCCUGUGUUGCCUUCCCUGUCUCUGGAUGGACCCCUCUUUCCCAUUGACUCCCGUUUCACUGCUCUGCUACUGCUUUUCCUUACUCCAUAGCCAUUCCCCAUCAUUGCUUGGUGGCCUCAAGGAAAGUCUGGAGGACACCAGAUAGAAACACCCCAACUUCUCACCUGCAAACCUGGAAAUUCAUCGUAACCGGCAUUUCAUUUUUCUGGUUAAAAUGGAACUUGUCUCUUUACUGACUUGAGCCCAUUCCUCCAUCUUGAAGGAAAUCUCAUCUCCUCCCAUCUCCUCACCUCUCUCUAACAAUUAUCCUGUCAUCUUGUUGAGUCUUUAAUCUCCUCUCUGCUGUUCUUUCUCAAAAUCAUGAAAAAAUCCAUAAGUCUCCAUCUCUUAAAAAAAAUACUCUUGUUUUCACUGCCUUUUAUACCUAAUUCACAGUCAAACUUCCUGAAAGGGUCAUGUAUACUUCUUAUCUCCCCUUACACCCUUCCUUGUCACUCCUCUGUCCUCUGAAAACAGUCUCCUCAAGAUUACUAAUGACCUCCGUGUUGUCCAAAUCUCUUGGACUUUUGUUGCCCCUUUGAGUUACUCUCAACAGCUUUGACAUUAUUCACCACUUCCUGCCUCUCCUCGCCCAGCUCCUCCUCCUGCCCUGACUGCUUCCUCUCUGUGUCCCUGACAUGCCCCUCUCUCUCCCUCUCUCUUUUCUCUCCCUCUCUCUCCUCCCUGUCUCUCUCUCUCCCUCCUUCUGUCUCUCUUUCUCCUGUGCAGCAGUGACACUCCCUGUGCUCCUUGGCUUUCUGGCUUGGGCCUUCUUCUUCCCUCACUUUCCCCGAGUGAUCUCAUCCACUCCUUCACUCCACAAAUAUUUACUGAGCACACACCACGAAUCAGGCAAGGUUCUAAGCCCUGAGGUAUCACAAUGAAGAAGACAAAGUCCCGGAUGUUAUAGAGUUCACAUUUACCAAGGUGUCAAUUCUGUCUGGAUGCCCGUGACACCGAGCUGUCUCCAGCCCAGAUCUUUCUCUCCUGUCUGCUUAACACCUCUACUUGGACAUCCCACAAAAAACGGGACUUGUCCAGAGGUAAAGUUUUCAUCCUUACUGCCUUCCGGACCAGCUUAUCUUCCUAUCUCGAUUACCCAAACCAGGAGCUGCUCUUUGCAUUCAUUUGUCAUCUUUGAUUCUUCACUUUCAUUCUCCCCUUCAAUCCAGCCUGUAACGAAGUCCUGUCAAUUCUACCUCCCAAUCCUCCUAAAUGCCUCUAGAAUCCAUCCACUGCUCUUUACGCCCAACACUAUUACUCUGACUUAGAGCCAUAUCCCCUCUUCCCUGGUUCCCACCAGGUGACCCUCUGGUCUUAUUCUCUCCCAUGCCACACCCUUCAAUACAUUGUCCGCACUGCAGUCGGAGUCAUUGUCUAAUGUACCUACAGAACUGAUCUCACGACCUCCCUGCUUAAAAUUCUUCAUUGCCUUUAAAAUUAAAGCCAAACCUCUUAUCAUGGCCCCUGCCUACUUCUCAGUCCUCUCCCCCACCACCCACCUCACUCUCACACACUUUACUGUGUGUGUCUCCUGACACACACAGUAAACUUUUUUUUUCAGUGCCCUGGAUGUGCCACAUUCCCUCACAACUCCGAACCUUGAAAGUGCUGUUCCUUCAGCUUGGAAGUCUUCCUCACUCCUGACCCGCACCACCUCACCUGGCUAACUCCUAUUUACAUCAGGCUCAGCUCAGAGGUAACCUCUAGAGCACUUUCCAUUAAGGCUGUCGUCUGUGGCAAUUGCCCUCCUAUGUACUUCCAUGUCAUCUUGUAUUAUCCACUCUAUUAUGAUCAUCUGAUUUCACUGUUUAUUUUCUGCGUUCCUCUUCCAUGAGACUGUAUGCCACAGGAAGGCAGGAACAAAGUCCACAUCACUCAUACUGUGUCAUUGUGUUUCCAGUCUUCAGAAAAUACCAAUCAAGAAAUAACUGUCAAAAAUGAAUAGUUUCUUGCCUCCCUCCUCCUGCCCUCUAAGUGCAGACAUUGCUUAAGAUUCAUGUUUUCCAGCUUUGCUCGAUUUCCUUCUUUAUAUUUCAUGGAUUCCUAUUACUUCAGUGAUUGGAUAUGUGUGAAGAAAUCUCCAAUCUACCCCCAAGCUAGAUAGCUCUCAGCUCCCAGACUGCAUUUCCAAUCUCAUGCUAGACAUUCAUGCUUGUAGGUUUUUCCAUCAUCUCAGAUAAAAGAUAUAAAACAUUAAAAGCAUGCAAAGGAUAUAUGUGUAAGGAUGUGCAAUGCAACAUUGUCUAUAAUAUAGAAAAAUUGGAAACAAUCCAAAUGCCCAUCAAAAGAGAAUUGGGUAAAUAAACUGUGUACCACUGUGCAGACUAGAAAGAUUUAUAUAUUGAUGUGAAAAGAUGUCCAUGAUAUACCGUUCAGUAAAAAAGCAGCUUCAUCUGUGUAAAUACAUACAGUGCUCUUUUGAAUAAUUUUCCCUUCCUUUGAUCCCAAAGUCAAUGAUACUCAUUUGUAUGUUGAACAAUGAAUUUUAUAAUGCACACUUCAAAUGAAUGUAUAAGGGAAUUGAAAAAAGUACUAGGUAUUAUCUAUUAAGAGACUCCUGUUAACCACACACACAAAAACAGGUUUCAGAACUAUAGAGUUUAAUUUUAUUCAAUCAUUCAACAUGCAUUUAUUAAGCACCUAUUAUGUGCCAGUUUCUGUUCCAGGUACUGGGGAUAUGCAGAGAGCAAGGCAAAGUCCUUGCUCUCACAGUUUUCUUUUUUUUUUUUUUUGAGACAGAGUUUCGCUCUUGUCGCCCAGGCUGGAGUGCAGUGACACGAUCUCGGCUCACUGCAACUUCUGCCUCCCGGUUUUAAGCAAUUCUCCUGCCUCAGCCUCCCGAGUAGCUGGGACUACAGGCGUGCACCACCAUGCCCAGCUAAUUUUUUGUAUUUUUAGUAGAGACGGGGUUUCACCAUGUUGGCCAAGCUGGUCACGAACUCCUGGCCCCAAGUGGUCCACCCGCCUCAGGCUCCCAAAGUGCUGGGAUUACAGGCGUGAGCCACUGCACCCGGCUGCUCUCACAGUUUUCUAAAUAGACAGUAAGCAAAUAAAUAGACAGAAUUAAAUGUCACGUAAUGAUACGUGGUAUGAAGAAACUGAAUUAUGAGGUGUGCUAUUCUGCUUAGGAUGCUUAGAGAGGGGCUUUCCAAAAUAGUGACAGUUGAGCAGAGACCUGAAUAAAAGUGAGGGCGGGAAUUACCUGAAUAUUUGGGGCAAGGAUAUUCUGACCGGAAGAACCAGCCAUCACAGAGGCCUACAGUAUUGCCGUGUUUAACUGGUUCUAAAACUGCAAGGCAGCCACAGCAGCUGGAGCAAAGUAGGGGGAGGAAAGAGUGGAGGGAGAUGUGGCCGUGGUGUGGGCUCUGGGCUCUGGUGUCCAUUCUAAGUGUGAUGAAAAGUAAGUCUUCAGAGGUGUUUCUGUUACAUGUUAGUGUCUCAUUUUUAAAAGUCAGCAUAAAAUAAUUCUGAGAUGUGAAACUAUAGGAGACUUUCAUUUUCAAAACCAAUGAUGCUCUGAUUAUUUUUUUUUUUUUUUUUUGCCAAAGUAAUACUCACCGUAAAACAUUCAAACACAUUCAAGCACAAUCUUGUGUUUGAAUGUUUUACGGUGAGUAUUACUUUGGCAAUCAGAAAAAAAAAUGAUUUUUUAAAUGUGUGGGCUGGACACAGUGGCUCAUGCUUGUAAUCCCAGCACUUUGGGAGGCUGAGGUGGGCAGAUCACUUGAGCCCAGGAGUUCGAGACCAGUCUGGGCAACAUGGCAAAACCCUGUCUCUACUAAAAAUACAAAAAUUAGCUGGGUGUGGUGGCACACACCUGUAGUCCUAGCUACUCAGGAAGCUAAGGGAGGAGGAUAGCUUGAGCCCAGGAUAGUCCAGGCUGCAGUGAGCCAUGAUCACACCACUGCACCCCAGCCUGGGCAACAGAGCAAGACCCUGCCUCAAAAACAAUAAUAAAAAUAAUGGCCGGGCGCGGUGGCUCACGCCUGUAAUCCCAGCACUUUGGGAGGCCAAGGCAGGCCGAUCACGAGGUCAGGAGAUCGAGACCAUUCUGGCUAACACGGUGAAACCCCGUCUCUACUAAAAAUACAAAAAAUUAGCUGGGCGUGGUGGCGGGCGCCUGUAGUCCCAGCUACUCGGGAGGCUGAGGCAGGAGAAUGGCGUGAACCUGGGAGGCGGAGCUUGCAGUGAGCCAAGAUUGCACCACUGCACUCCAGCCUGGGCAACACAGUGAGACUCCAUCUCAAAAAAAAUAAAAAUAAAAAUAAAAUAAAAUAAAAUAAAAUAAAAUAUGUGCCUACCCUUUGACUCAUCAACUCCCUUUCAAGAAAAAUAUCCUUUAAAUAUUGGAUAAAUAUGUAAAAAUAUGUAUAUAAGGAUGUUCAUUACAGUAUUAUUUAUAGCAACAAAAAAUAGAAAUAACUUCGAUGUUCAACAAUAGGGGAUUGACUCAACAAUAGGUGAUUGACCAAAUUGUAAAAACUAUACAAUGGAAUCAUGAAUAGUCAUGACAAAUUAUGUUGUAGAAUAUCUCCCCCAGCUAAAAAUUAGUUCAAUUCCCAGCUCUAUGAAGGCUUUCUGUCUGCCCUGGCCUAACAGGACCUCUUCCUCCUUGAAGCUUAUUCAUGCUUAUUGUCUACAGCAUCCUCUGGCCCCCACAGUGGAAGAACAAGUGCAGCUCACACCCGGCUGGCUCUGAGCUGUGCUAAUGGAAGGGGAGUGGAGCAGAGCAAUCCUGAACAAUAGAUAAUUCAUUCCUUUGUAAAUGCAUCAGAUAAUUUAUUUUGCAGUGGAUUCACCUUCCUAAUUAGCUUUCCCCAUGUUAGUAUUAAAAUUAAUGAGCAUUUCCAAACACUAGUAGCAGAGGCAGGACCUAGAAGAAGGCAAAAGAGCAAAGAGUUCCCCUGGGUAACCCACUGGCUGGACAACAGGACCUGGAAGCUCAGAGGGUUGUCGGGGCUCUUCCCCUGUACAACUGCCCACUCCUCUUCACUGAGAGACUAGAAUACGGCCCCUCCUUAGUAAUCCCUGGGCAGGGCACUCUCCUAAGGGAGCCCUCCUGGCCUCUGUCUGCCCUGUAGUCAUGCCUUCCCAGGGAGGAGGACGCAGCAGCUAUCUCCCCUUUGCCCUUGUUCAGCCAGCUCUAUACCCACGGGGUGACCUGUGUGGAUUACAUGAGCAUGAUCUCUUAUCUUCUGGCCUCCCUCCUGAGGAGGAGGAUAUGAACCCGCACUCCCUUCCUGCAGGUGACAGCAGGCUGGCCUUUGCCCUUGGCUUGCAGGGCUGGGCUUCCUAAGCCUGCUUCUGAUCCCCUUUGUGCAUGAGCGUCUCCUCUCGGCACUGCCAUGGGACAGUAACAUAGCCACUCAUGAACUAUCCUGGGGUCUCCUUCCCAGUCUACUUGAGCAAUUCUGCUGAGCGGCCAAGUGACUGACUCAACAGCUCUGAUGGAGACCAGGACACAUUCCUUCCAAUCACCUCACGGCAGCCUCCUCUGGAAAGGGCAGGAUACCACUGGGAAAAGAGAAGCCACAGCUAUCUUAAAGAGAGUUUCCUAAUAGCCAUUACAUAAGGGCUCAUGUGACAGCCUCUUCCACCCAGUGGUCCUGAGCGGCCAGGGAGGCUAUCUACCCAUGUGAGGUAUUUGAGGGGGCCCAGUAACACCCCCUACCAACCCAAGUCCUCCACCAGCUGAGAAAUAGGACAAAUUAGUUAACAAAUGGAGACCCUAUUUAUUACUGAUAUAAAUGCUGAUAUUGAGUAAUAAUAUAUUUCUGUCUUAGGGCUGCCUAAUACCAAAGCCCAGAAUGAGUUAGAACUGGCACCCAGGCUGGGCACAGUGGCUCACUCCUGUAAUCCCAGCACUUUGGGAGGCCUAGGUGGGUGGAUCACUUCAGCUCAGGAGUUAGAGAUCAGCCUGGGCAACAUGGUGAGACCACAUCUCUACAAAAAAUAAAUUAGCCGGGUGUGAUGGUGCAUGCCCGUAGUCCCAGCUACUAAGGAGGCUGAAGUGGGAAGAUCACCUCAGCCUGGGAGGUCAAGGCUGCAGUGAGUCAUGUUUACCACUGCAUUCCAGUCUGGGUGAUGGAGCAAGACCCUGUGUCAAAAAAAAAAAAAAAAAAAAGAAAAGAAAAGAAAGAAAAAGAAAAAGAAAGAAUAGGCGCUCAGGUAGUGCUGGGGAGGGCAGGCCUCUCUACAGGGGGAGGUAGCGCCACUUCAUCGCACAACAAUGUAGAAAGACCGGCCCCUAAGAAGAAAGAAAGAGGAAGGCAUUGAAAUAGGCCAAAUUUCUCCUAAACUCACCAGUGGAAUUCAGUCACCCCUCCUGUCAUUCAGGGAUAGCUGACAUAUUCUAACUGUGUAAUUUGAAUAAAAAUCUAAUAAGAGGAUUCUUCACAAAAGUGUGGGCAGAGCAUGGAGAAUCCACAAAGGACAGUGCAAUAUCCCAGAGCUGAAAUGGAGGCAGAGGGAGCAGUUACCAGAAUCCGAAGAAAGAGAAGCAUCUGAUAGGAGGGACCGCCUUCAGUCAAGGGGUGUUCUGUGGCCAGCCUGCUGCCACCUGCGGGAAGGGAGUGUGGGGUUCAUAUCCUCCUCCCUACAAGGGAGGCCAGAAGAUAAGAGAUCCCGCUCAUGUAAUCCAUAUAGGUCACCGUGUGGGCAUAGAGCUGGCUGAACAAAGGCAAAGGGAAGUUAACUGUUGUGUCCUCCUCCCUGGGAAGGCGUGACUAUAGGGCAGACAGAAGCCAGGAGGGCUCCCUUAGGAGAGUUCCCUGCCCAGGGAAGGACAUAUCAGGAAGGGGAAAGAAGCAGUCCUUCCCAAUGAUCCACACUUGCAAAAGCACCUUGUUUAGGCUCACACAGCUAGGGAGUGAUGGGGCUGAGAGUGCCUCCUGUCUCCUAGCUGGGGGCCCUCUGCAUGGAUGGUUUAUCUCUUAAACUUCUUAUUGAUCCAAGAGUGGAUUGUUGGGAGCCCCUGUUCAGCAAUCUCUGCACUAGUUCAAAAAUUUCUGUUCGUGGGCGGGAGGGGGACAGUGGAGUUGGGAGAGGUGGGCAGGAAGGAAAGAGAUUGUCUUAGUCAGUUUGGGAUGCUAUAACGAAAUACCUUAGACUGGGUAAUGUAUAAACACUAGAAAUGUAUUGCUCACACUUCUGGAGGCUGAGAAGUCCACGUUCAAAGCAUCAGCAGAUUAAAUGUCUGGUGAGAGCCUGCUGUUCAAGAUGAACAUAGAUGGUUCCUUUUAUGUGUCCCCAUAUGGCUGAAGGGGAGAACAAGCUCCCUCAGGCCUCUUAAGGACACUCAUCCCAUUUGUGAGGAUGAAGCCGUCCUUCCCUAUAUGCUUCCAAACACCACACCUCUCAAUAGGAUCCCACUGGGGAUUAAGUUUCAACACAAGAAUGUUGAGGAGACACAAACCUUCAGACCACAGCAGAGAUAAAGAGGGAAAAAAUGGUAUUUGUGGGUUUUGUUUUUGUUUUGCCUUUGAAAAUUCCCUGGAGGGAAAUAAUCUACUGUUAAAAUCAAUCUUUCUCCUUUGCUCCUGUCUCUCUCUGUCUCUCCCCACUUCUUUCUCUCCUAUCUCUCUCUCUCCCCUCCCACUUCUUUCUCUCUUCCAAUUCCUGCAUCUCUUUCACAAUCACCCCAGAAGUUCCCUCCCUCCCCUCCUGUGUUCCUGUGUGACCUCCCAACCCCAGGCAGGAGAUGGCAGUGAUUCUAAAAGAAGAUGAGGGGCUAUGACACCCUGCAGAGGCCUGAGGUCUCAGACAGACCCAAGGAACUUGCACCAAAGUUUCCUGUCACCCAGUUUCAGCACUAUUCUAUGGCCCAGCUAUCUCUGAUGAGAAACAAUUCAAAUUCUUUUUCAGCUCCUCAGAAGGUAGCAUUUAUAGGCCUGCUGGCUAAAAUAUUCACAAUCAGUUCCUUUCCAUGAGCAAAGGUGGUGGAAUCUGGGAGAUCAAAGCAAAAAAAAAAAAAAAGUCAUUCCCAGAAUCCCUUUGUUCAGCUAAACAAAGUUUUAGGUGCCAGGUUUUAUGCCUGAGGCAAGAACUGAAAGCUAGAGAAGUCCUCAUCCCUGCUCUUGGGUCAUUCACAGUCUGGCUUCUCACUGCUGAACUUUUCUGGAACACACCUGGUCAUUGCAUUGGCUAGCCAAAUAAGGCCACAUCUGGAGAUGGACCUUCCCACGUCACCCUCCAAGAGAAGUAGUACAUCGGCUUCCUCUCGGAGUCAUAAAUGUUCUGAAUGGAGUAAGUCCACAGAGAUUCCUCGACUGGAGACGGAAACAGGCCUAGAAAGGAGAAGGGUUUGAGCACAGGUCACAUGCCCACAGCUGGUGGCUGUGCUGGGCCUGGGCGUGUUUUCCGUUCCCCCACAUCACCCUGCUUCCUUAGCAUUCCUGGGAGCUGAUGUAGCUGGGACUACAGGCGCCCGCCACCAUGCCCGGCUAAUUUUUUGUAUUUUUAGUAGAGACGGGGCUUCACCGUGUUAGCCAGGAUGGUCUCGACCUCCAGACCUCGUGAUCUGCCUGCCUCAGCCUCCCAAAGUGCUGGAAUUACAGGCGUGAGCCACCAUGCCCGGCCGGAGCCAGAGUUCUUAACUAUGGAAGAGGGAAGAUAUAAUUAUGGGUGGGUUAGAUUGGAACUGGAUGUGUUAGUAUGAACUAAUGAUUUCUAAAAUCCAAACACACAUACACCACAACCACCACCAUUACCACUGCUGUGAAGACAUGGAACACCUGCGUCAUAAUCUCUCCACCCCGGGCAACCUCUGAUUUGCUUUCUGUGUCUUUUUUCUCUGGUUGUUGUUUUGUUUUGUUUUUGGUUUUUUUUUGGAGACGGAGUCUUGCACUGUCGCCUGGGCUGGAGUGCAGUGGCACCAUAUUGGCUCACUGCAAGCUCUGCCUCCCAGGUUCACGCCAUUCUCCUGCCUCAGCCUCCCGAGUAGCUGGGAUUACAGUUACCCGCCACCACACCCAGCUAAUUUUUUGUAUUUUUAGUACAGAUGGGGUUUCACCGUGUUGGCCAAGCUGGUCUCAAACUCCUGACCUCAUGAUCCACCCACUUUGGCCUCCCAUAGUGCUGGGAUGACAGGCAUGAGCCACUGUGCCCGGCCUCUCUGGUUGUUUUAAAGACUUUCUUUGUAUCAUUGGUUUUCAGCAAUUUGACUGCCUUCAUGUAGUUUUCUUUGUAUUUAUUCUGCUAGGGGAAUGGUUAAAUUUCUUGACUCUAUGGGUUGAAAUUGGAAGGUUUUUCAACUAUUACUUCGUCAAAUAUUUUUUUCUGCCUCUUGCCUCUUGCCAUAUACAUGUACUCCCAUUACAUGUAUAUCAGACCUUGAGAUGUCCCACAGAUCACUGAGACUUUGCUCCUUCUUUUUCUUUGUGUGCUGCCUUUUGGAUAGUUUCUAUGGCUAUGUCUUCAAGUUCCUUUGCAGUACCUAAUUUUUCAUCUCAGAUGUAUUUUUUCAGUUCUAAAAGUUCCAUUUGUUUCCUUUUUAUAGUUUCUAUUUCUCUCUUCAUUAUAUUUAUGUUUUCCUUUAAAUCUUUGAGCAUACGUACAAUAGCUGCUUUAAGUUUCUUGCCUACUAAUUGCAUCAUCUCUCUCAGUACAUUUUUCCUGCUUUUUCGGAUGUCAGGAAACUUUUUAGACACUGGAGCCCAGCUCUCCCACUAUACUAUGAGGUUGUGGAAAACUGCAGUUUCAAUGACCACUGCAAUCUCUUAAUACACUCAUUCCAAGAGUGUUCUCCUGGGCAGUGCAACCCCAACAGCAGAGAGCUAUGUAGCCCCUGCUGUAGCAGAGCCAGGGCCCCAAUGCCUGCUGAGAGCUGGGACAGGACCCCGUGGUGCUGCAGAGAGGUCAGUCCGAACCCAAGGGGUACUGCCCUCUAACACUUGGAAAGCUGAGCACCCCUUGCUCCUAGGAGUCCAACUCACCAGUGAGUUCUAAUGUCUCGUUGACCUCAGUGUGCAUCUCUCAGUAUGCCUUGCUAAGUUUAGUCUUACCCUUGGUGCUGAUACUGCUCCUGACCUUGCCAGUGAAGUGGUCCUCCUUCUCUCUCUGCUGAGGGACCUCUGCUGGCCCAAGGGAAAAGCCAACCCCCUUCCCUGUCCUGGCUUGGUUGGCAGAGGACCCAACAUCCACUCCCUCUCCUCCUCACGCUUGUCCUCCCCAGGCGCCUUGGAGGCAUUGGAGACAGGAUGCAGGGAAGGAGCCCCCUCUGCUUCCACUACUGAGCAGGGAUUAGUCCAGAAGGUACCCAGGAGGGGAAAGGUGGACUGAAAGACUGCUUUUCCUCCCCUUUAACCCUCCCUUCUGUCUCUACAAAAAUCAAAUCAAAAUGGAUUAAUGACUUAAAUCUAAGACCUCAAACUAUAAAACUACUAAAAGAAAACAUUGGGGAAACUCUCCAGGACAUUGGUUGGGGAAGAUAUUUCUUGAGUAAUACCCCACAAGCACAGACAACCAAAGCAAAAAUGGACAAAUGGGAUCACGUCAAGUUAACAAGCUUCUGCACAGCAAAGGAAACAACCAACAAAGUGAAGAGACAACCUACGGAACGGGAGAAAAUAUUUGCAAAUUACCCAUCUGACAAAGGAUUAACAAUCAGAAUAUAGAAGGAGCUCAAACAACUCUACAGGAAAAUAAAUCUAAUACUCCAAUAAAAAAUGCCCAAAAGACUUGAAUGGGCAUUUCUCAAAAGAAGUCAUAAAUGGCAAACAGGUAUAUGAAAAGGUGCUCAACAUCACAGAUAAUCAAAGAAAUGCAGAUCAAAACCACAGUGAGAUAUCAUCUCACCCCAGUCAAAAUGGGUUAUAUACAAAAGACAGGCAAUAAUAAAUGCUGGUGAGGAUGUGGAGAAAAGAGAAUCCAUGUACAGUGUUGGUGGGAAUGUAAAUUAGUACAAGCACUCUGAAGGACAGUUUGGAGGUUCUUCAAAAAACUAAAAAUAUAGCUACCAUAUGGUCCAGCAAUCCCACUGCUGGGUAUGAACCUAAAAGAAAGGAAAUCAGUGUAUUGAAGAGAUGUCUGCACUCCCAUGUUUGUUGCAGCACUGUCACAAUAGCCAAGAUUUGAAACCAACCUAAAUAUCCAUCCACAGAUGAAUGCAUAAGGAAAACGUGGUAGAUAUACACAAUGGAGUACUAUUCAGCUUUGAGAAAGAAUGAGAUCCUAUCAUUUGCAACAUGGCUGGAACUGGAGGUCAUUAUGUUAAAUGAAAUAAGCCAGGCACAGAAAGACAAACAUUACAUGUUCUGACUUAUUUGUGGGAUGUAAAAAUCAAAACAAUUGAACUCAUGGAGAUAAGUCAGUUAGAAGGACGGUUACCAGAGGCUGGGAAGGCUUGUGGCGGGGGGCAGGGAGGAGAUGGGGGAGAGGUAGAGUAGGGUAAUGGGUACCAAAAAAAAGUUGGAAAGAAUGAAUAAGACCUAGUAUUUGAUAGAAUAGGGAGACUAUAAUAAAAAAUAAUUUAAUUAUACAUUCUAAAAUAACUAAAAGAAUGUAAUUAGAUUGCUUGUAACACAAAGGAUAAAUGCUUGAGGAGAAGGAUAUGCCAUUUUCCAUGAUGGGAUUAUUAUGCAUUCCAUGCUUGUAUCAAAGUAUCUCAUGUACCGCAUAAAUAUAUACACAACUAUGUAACCCCAAAAAUGAAAAAUUAAAAAUUUUUUUAAAACGAAGUUUCACUCUUGUCACCCAGGCUGGAGUGCAAUGGCACCAUCUUGGCUCACGGCAACCUCCACCUCCUAGGUUCAAGCGAUUCUCCUGCCUCAGCCUCCUGAGUAGCUGAGAUUACAGGCAUGUGCCACCAUGCCGGACUAAUUUUUGUAUUUUUAGUAGAGAUGGGGUUUCACCAUGUUGGCCAAG
rnacentral:lncRNA from 1 species